CGGUCGACAUCCUGGAGGGCUGCCAACGUAUUCAGGGAGGCAAGAACAGACAGCUUGGCCAUUUGUAACACGGCACUGACUGUUGGGCCCGCAUGGCGACGGGCUACACGGGUUUCUUUCGAGAGGGGCUGCAAAUAUUACGAUGGAAGCGACGUAAUGAAGAAGCAUCUCUAAUAUUAUUUCUUCUCUACCGAGCAGCGUCCAUGGUAUGGCGAUGACAAUGAUAAAUGACCACAUUGCUGAAGUAUAAACUUACGAGUCGUCGGUUGAACGUAACAGUUCACGAAAGGAUCACCCGUGAAUCCAGCCAGACAAGUGCAGCUUGGCCAAGUUUGAGGGACAAUCGGAAUUCACGGUGCAUUCCGGUCGACAUCCUUCGUACGGGUUUCCUAUGUAAUCCGGGGCACAAGAACAGGAUCCUGCUCCGUUUAGUUCUUUGCAUAUCGCGUUAGGACCACAGGGUGAUGGUGUGCAGGGUGACUGCGGCGGGGAUUGAAUCUCAGCUAAAAAAAACGGGGUCACAGGGAAGCAUUGGGCGAACGGAUCGCCUGCGUAGCCACUGAGACAGGCGCACAUCGGUGUAUGACUGACCACCCGACACUCCGCGUUCGAACCACACGAGCCUGGGCAUGGAUCUUGACACUUUCGAUUGAUGCAGGCCAAAUCGCUUGAACACUCGCUGUUGCUCACACAUUCCGGUCUACAAUUUGGCGGGGAACCGAUAAAGUUGGGCAAACAGGCGCAAGACGGUUUGUCAUUGAUCAUUUGGAACACGGAAUUGGGACCGCAUUGACAAGAGGCACACGUGUCUUCCUGUGUUGCGCUCACAGCUACAGGGAUAGAAGGAGUAUCAACAAUUUUAAUUGACCGUUUAAAUAAUUUCUGAAUUAAUUCUGUAGGGAAAGCGAUAAGAAGGUCUUACUGAUGAAUUCGCAUCUAGCGAAGGGGUCGCCUGUGAAGCCAGAUGGACAGCUGCACACAGGAUUAUGGUUGACGACUUGACAAAGUGCUUUCAGCCCACAAGUACCCAAACAAGGGUCGAUACACUUCUGGUUGUUACAAGCUUGGUUCCUAGGGCAAUCUGAACUGACCACGCACUCUGGCCUACACGAGGGUGGAGUACCAAGAUAUCCUGGCACGCAGGAACAUACGGCUUGUUCGUUUAUUGCUCGACAUUGACUGUUGGGUCCGCAGGGGGACGGGUUACAGGGGUUCACUAAAAUUGGUUCUAAAGCAGGAAUAAUAUGAAUGUCCAUCAAUUCUUAUCAAUGUGGGCAACUGCACAUGGGUACAUGGUUCAGGACAUUGCAUAGCGUAUUCCUGCCACAGGUACCUAUACACGGAUCCACGCACUUGUUGCGAACACAGGCUCUGUUCAGAGGACAGUCAUUGUUAAGGACAC